AGGUCUCUCACAUAGACAACACAGACCGGAAGAGAUCAACUUGAAGCUUAAUUCCUGUUUCAUCACUGACAUUAGCUAACAUUCACCUCCAGGUGCAAAUGUUGCUAUUGGGAUAAAUACUCUUAACCUUGGAGGCAUUUUCUUCUUGCAUUUUAUGUUUUGCUGCUGAACAGUAAUGCUCAAUCUGUGUGCUCAUGUGGACUUGCUAUGCUAUUUUGAAUCAGAUUUUAGAGAAUUCAUAGUUAAGAUCAAGUGGGUUGAAGAUGAAGAGGAUAUGAAGUUUUUUACUUUGUGUAAUUAACCCAAAAUAUAUUUUGUAAUGAAAGUACAUGAAUAGUGUAAACUCUUUACGUUUUGUUAUUAAUCAAAAUAUAUUGCACUUUA